UUCUAGCUCCGUUCCUCUUGCUCCCUUCGCAGACAGCUCCAUGGCUGCUAGAGCGCCGCGCGCGGCCGCCACACCCUCGCCCGCCUCUCCUGUACGAGGUCGCCGCCUCCCCCGACUUCCUCCCCUCGCAGCCGCCGCAUCCUUGUCCGCUACACGCCAAGCUCUGGCUCCGCUGCGCGUGGCCGUCUUGCUCCCCCGACCCUCCUAUACUCCAGCCGUCGUGCCCUCGUUUGCCCAUGCUGAGCUCCGCCGGUCGAGCAUAUGUCUUGGCGGCCGGUAGUAGCAGCGGCUGCAGCCGUUCGUCCAGCAGGUUCGAUUCCGGGUCGUGGGGUGCUCGGGCGAUCGACCUCCGCUCCUCCUCUGGCUAGGCCGGUCGACCUUCUCUACCGCUCGAACCAGCCGAUGGUGACUCCGCCCACCCCAUCUCGCUCGUUUGCCACCCCACCAUCUUAACCAUCGACGGCCAUAGUCGCGGCAAACCCAGCUCCGGCGCGGACGACGCCGGCGCGCAAGGAGGUGGUCUGCCCCUCGCUUCGCCUGGGCGUCUCGAGCUAUGGAGGCUCUGGUUCGCGUCUUCCUAGCCGCACGGGAGAGAUGCAGGGCCGAGCGGUGGCUGCCAGUCGAUGCACGCUUGGUGCUACCGCCUCCGUGUGGACUUUUACGUCGAGUGAAACAGCUCCAACGCCAGUCGUUCUUCUACUGGUAAAUUCCUCCCGAUUAAUCUGCAGUUGUUCUAUAUUACUUUGAGUUCUAAACAGAGAUCAGUUCUUCUUUUGAUACACUUUAUUCCUUCUUACUUUUUCGGAGAUGGAAGACUGAAGCUUCACAUGAGAUUCCUGGACGAGGAGACACUCACGGGGAAGCUGAUGGAAUGGCCAAAGAUGCUGUUCAAGAAGAUGUAGGCACAAGUAAAACAAAUGCAGUAGAGGAAGCUGUCACUGCAGAAUUGGAUUCAUCUGUUGAAAAGCUAGAUGAGUGAGGUUGCACACCUGAAUUCUGAUGAAAUUCUCAAGCUCCAGGUACUACUGAAAGAAUAUGAAGAAAGUAAAGUAGCAGUUUGUGAUGAGAUUCAGCAAUGUAGGCUUGAGGAAUACAUAUCCCGGCGGGGAAGAUCUCGCACGCAGGCUCAGGCAAACGCGCAGAUACUUGUGUUGAUUGCCCUGUAUUAGCUGAUGUCGUGGUGUCCUUUGUCAAACUUUUGUUUUGGAGGACAAUCCAGAUCUGGUCUUGAUCUACGGAAAAGUUUAAGAAUGAAUGGCUAGGCUACGGGAUAUAUUAAUUAGCGGUUAUUUGUUGGAUUUUUUUGUUGUAAUAAUAGAGUGCUUAGUUUUUUUUAAACACAAUAGAGUGCUUAGUUAAUUAGCGCUGAAGAUUUAUUUUUGUC